rnacentral:rRNA from 1 species
UGGGGAAUUUUGGACAAUGGGCGAAAGCCUGAUCCAGCAAUGCCGCGUGUGUGAAGAAGGCCCUCGGGUUGUAAAGCACUUUUGUCCGGAAAGAAAUCCUUGGCUCUAAUACAGUCGGGGGAUGACGGUACCGGAAGAAUAAGCACCGGCUAACUACGUGCCAGCAGCCGCGGUAAUACGUAGGGUGCAAGCGUUAAUCGGAAUUACUGGGCGUAAAGCGUGCGCAGGCGGUUUGCUAAGACCGAUGUGAAAUCCCCGGGCUCAACCUGGGAACUGCAUUGGUGACUGGCAGGCUAGAGUAUGGCAGAGGGGGGUUAGAAUUCCACGUGUAGCAGUGAAAUGCGUAGAGAUGUGGAGGAAUACCGAUGGCGAAGGCAGCCCCCUGGGCCAAUACUGACGCUCAUGCACGAAAGCGUGGGGAGCAAACAGGAUUAGAUACCCUGGUAGUCCACGCCCUAAACGAUGUCAACUAGUUGUUGGGGAUUCAUUUCCUUAGUAACGUAGCUAACGCGUGAAGUUGACCGCCUGGGGAGUACGGUCGCAAGAUUAAAACUCAAAGGAAUUGACGGGGUCAUAGCUGUUUCCU